rnacentral:tRNA from 1 species
GGAGAGAUGGCCGAGUGGCUGAAGGCGCACGCUUGGAAAGCGUGUUUACUCGAAAGGGUAACGUGGGUUCGACGCCAGAUUCCCAUCAUCGCCA